rnacentral:rRNA from 1 species
GACGAACGCUGGCGGCGUGCUUAACACAUGCAAGUCGAACGGAAAGGCCCCUUCGGGGGUACUCGAGUGGCGAACGGGUGAGUAACACGUGAGUAACCUGCCCUUGACUUCGGGAUAACUUCAGGAAACUGGGGCUAAUACCGGAUAGGAAUCCUUGCUGCAUGGUGGGGGUUGGAAAGCUUCGGCGGUUUUGGAUGGACUCGCGGCUUAUCAGCUUGUUGGUGGGGUAGUGGCUUACCAAGGCUUUGACGGGUAGCCGGCCUGAGAGGGCGACCGGCCACAUUGGGACUGAGAUACGGCCCAGACUCCUACGGGAGGCAGCAGUGGGGAAUAUUGCACAAGGGGCGGAAGCCUGAUGCAGCAACGCCGCGUGCGGGAUGACGGCCUUCGGGUUGUAAACCGCUUUCAGCAGGGGCGAAGCUUGUGGUGACGGUACCUGCAGAAGAAGCACCGGCUAACUACGUG